UCGGAGAGUUUGAUCCUGGCUCAGGACGAACGCUGGCGGCGUGCCUAAUACAUGCAAGUCGAGCGAAUCGACGGGAGCUUGCUCCCUGAGAUUAGCGGCGGACGGGUGAGUAACACGUGGGCAACCUGCCUAUAAGACUGGGAUAACUUCGGGAAACCGGAGCUAAUACCGGAUACGUUCUUUUCUCGCAUGAGGGAAGAUGGAAAGACGGUUUACGCUGUCACUUAUAGAUGGGCCCGCGGCGCAUUAGCUAGUUGGUGAGGUAAUGGCUCACCAAGGCGACGAUGCGUAGCCGACCUGAGAGGGUGAUCGGCCACACUGGGACUGAGACACGGCCCAGACUCCUACGGGAGGCAGCAGUAGGGAAUCUUCCGCAAUGGACGAAAGUCUGACGGAGCAACGCCGCGUGAACGAAGAAGGCCUUCGGGUCGUAAAGUUCUGUUGUUAGGGAAGAACAAGUACCAGAGUAACUGCUGGUACCUUGACGGUAC
rnacentral:rRNA from 1 species